rnacentral:rRNA from 1 species
AGAGUUUGAUCCUGGCUCAGAUUGAACGCUGCGGAAUGCUUUACACAUGCAAGUCGAACGGCAGCACGGGGCAACCUGGUGGCGAGUGGCGAACGGGUGAGUAAUACAUCGGAACGUGCCCAAUCGUGGGGAUAACGUAGCGAAAGUUACGCUAAUACCGCAUACGAUCUACGGAUGAAAGCGGGGGAUCGCAAGACCUCGCGCGAAUGGAGCGGCCGAUGUCAGAUUAGGUAGUUGGUGGGGUAAAGGCUCACCAAGCCAACGAUCUGUAGCUGGUCUGAGAGGACGACCAGCCACACUGGAACUGAGACACGGUCCAGACUCCUACGGGAGGCAGCAGUGGGGAAUUUUGGACAAUGGGCGCAAGCCUGAUCCAGCCAUUCCGCGUGCAGGAUGAAGGCCUUCGGGUUGUAAACUGCUUUUGUACGGAACGAAAAGGUCCUGGUUAAUACCUGGGGCUCAUGACGGUACCGUAAGAAUAAGCACCGGCUAACUACGUG